AACGAACGCUGGCGGCAGGCCUAACACAUGCAAGUCGAACGCUGUAGCAAUACAGAGUGGCAGACGGGUGAGUAACGCGUGGGAAUCUUCCUAUCGGUACGGAAUAGCUCAGGGAAACUUGGGGUAAUACCGGAUACGCCCUUCGGGGGAAAGAUUUAUCGCCGAUAGAUGAGCCCGCGUCUGAUUAGAUAGUUGGUGAGGUAAUGGCUAACCAAGGCGACGAUCAGUAGCUGGUCUGAGAGGAUGACCAGCCACACUGGGACUGAGACACGGCCCAGACUCCUACGGGAGGCAGCAGUGGGGAAUAUUGGACAAUGGGGGCAACCCUGAUCCAGCCAUGCCGCGUGAGUGACGAAGGUCUUCGGAUUGUAAAGCUCUUUUGGCGGGGACGAUAACGACGGUACCCGCAGAAUAAGCCCCGGCUAACUUCGUGCCAGCCGCCGCCGUAA
rnacentral:rRNA from 1 species